rnacentral:rRNA from 1 species
AUGCAUGGCCCCAUGCUCCGGACACUCAGGGAAAGGGCCAACGCGGCUUUGGGCAAAAUCUGCGAGGCAGCCGCUAAGGAACCGCAUGUGACCAACUACGCCGGCAAUCUCCAGUUCUUCACUGACAUGGUGACGCAUCUAGAGAACCGCUCUGAGAGGUCUCGCCAGCUGGUGGAGGAACGGAGCUGCGGCCUGCUCGCGCGGGCAUUCUCCCGCGUCUUCAGCUAUCUCCAAAACAUCGACCCCCUCUUCGAUUUCGAUGCUGCCAUCGCCCCGGUGCCUGAGGCCGUCCGAUGCGACCUAGCGCGAUGGGUGGAGGACAAUGUAGAUGCACUCGUUCGGGCCUUCACUUCUGAUGAUGACGGGGUGAUCAUUGAUGCUCACGAAGGCUACAUGGUGAACGAUGGUGAAGACGGUGCCAACAAUGGCGAUGGAGAGGCUGGCGGCGACGACGGCGGUGCCAGCGACACCUCCGGGGACGCCUUGGGGGUUGCAGUGAGCGACAUGUCCGAUUGA